rnacentral:tRNA from 1 species
GGAAGGUAGCCGGAUACGGUUGGCCGGGCCGGUUUGCUAAACCGGAUUCCUGAAAUCAAAGGAAUGCGAGUUCGAAUCUCGCACCUUCCGC